GCUCCACUCCUUCUGGUAACACAAGGGCAUUGUUUGCACCUGAGCUCCCCUGGUAAGUGAGAAUUUGUUGAGAAAAAGCAUCAUCAGCAAUCAUCAGAAAAUAUGACUCACAGUUUGGUUACUCCUGAAUUACCACUGAAAUGGAUUGCAGGAAGAAUCAACAAAAUAAGUUUUCUCUUCUCGGUGAUGAUGACUUGAGAUCAGAAGGAAACUGUUCUUUUUUCUUGUAAGGCUUACUGGGAAGAUUGGGUUGAGAUGAACAUCUUUCAGCUUCUUUCUCCUCAUGAUGACUGCUGAAUAUUUAUGGGCUGAAUUGUGAUGAACUGUCCUUCCUAUAUUGCAUAUUACUGGGUAUUUUAAUUCAUGAGAUGGGAUUCAGAGCAGAGAGGUGCUCCUGGAAAUUCUUACAGCUCUAAAUAAAUCAAUGAAAGUUACUGUCCCUUUGACAAGUUGGUGGAGUUGUUCUUUUUUUUGUUGUUUUUUUUUUUUCCUUCAUCUGCUUCUUAGGAAGUGUGUUUCAUCAUCUACUCUCUCUUUCUUUUGUUCUUCUGUGAAGUCUAGCUACCUUAGUGUGAAGCACCAUGUGAACUGAAACAGGGAAUCACAGUUUUGAUAUUCUCUCUUCUGAGAUAAGAAUGAAACAGAAUUAAAAAACUAUUCUCCUUUUUCAUUUAUUUUCUAUGUGAGCCUGGAAAGCAAAUAGUUUUACUAAGAUUAUUUGGACAGCUGUCCUCAAAAUACCUGCUAAGAAUUUCUCCCUCCUUGGAUUCAGUAUGUCCUACUUUCUUUCCAUAACAUGAACAUUAGACAGACUCUUAAAAAUGUAUCACACUAACAAGAUUUUUGCCUUUUGAUUUGUUUCUCCUCCCAUUCCUAGUCCUUUAUGAUUUUCACUGACCUCAAAUAUUUGAUUUUUGUGAAAACAAUGAAAAUCAGAAAUGUUUAGGAAAUAUGGUUGGUUUAAACUUUCCAUUAUUAAUGCACUGUGCAGUAAAGGCUGUAAUAUCAGCUCAGUAGUCAUGGAACUUUCAGCUUUGUUUUGUGUCUAAGGGUUUCUUUCUGCAAAGAUAUGACAGCCUGACACAGGAUUAGAAGC
ensembl:lncRNA